UUCUCAGGGAUCCCUAAAACAUUGAACGUGCUCUCAAACAUCCCCUUCCUAUUUGUCGGUCUCGCCGGUAUUCUGUGCCACUACAAAAACUACUUCAGGCUAUGCUCACAGGGGGAGCUCUAGAGUUCCACACUCUUCUUUGCUCGUGUCACUUCUGUCGGUGUUGGUUCAUCCUACUAACAUCUCUACCCGAACGAUGCCACCAUAGUUUGGGACAGAUUGCCUAUGACGAUUGCUUUCACGUCUAUCACGGCCAUUUUCAUCAUAGAAAGGGUUGAUGAUGGGGCCGGAACAAAGUCCCUUUCACCCCUUGUCAUUGCUGGUGCACUAAGCAUCCUGUACUGGAGUUUCUUUGAUGACCUUCGGCCAUAUGCGGUAAUCCAGUUUGUUCCAUGCAUUGUAAUACCUGUGAUGACUAUAGUUAUUCCACCAGUGUAUACACAUUCAAGCUACUGGUUGUCGGCAGCAGGAUUUUACCUUGUUGCCAAAGUAGAAGUGGGUGCAGACAAACCUAUAUAUAGGUGGACACAUGACAUUGUUAGAGGACAUACUUUUAAACAUCUAUGUGCUGCGAUGAUACCUGUUUUCUUGACUCUUAUGUUGGCAAAGAGGACAAUUGAACCUGACAUGGUAAGCUUACUCCAGAUGUGGAAGAUCAGUUGGAGAGAACGUGGUUCCCAAGAUAGCAACACUGUAGACGUCAAAUAUGAUUAUGCUGCAGUUUCAACUACGUCUGAACAAUUUUAG
rnacentral:rRNA from 1 species